rnacentral:rRNA from 1 species
CCUGGCUCAUAACGAACGCUGGCGGCAGGCUUCUUACAUGCAAGUCGCGCGAUUAAAGCCCGCGAGGGGAUAUAAAGCGGCGAAUAGGUGAGUAACAGGUGGAUAAUCUGCCUUUCAGUGGGGGAUAACGGCUGGAAACGGCCGCUAAUACCGCAUACGGGUGCCGGGGUUAUGGCCCUGGCAAAGAAAGGGGCUGCAAGGCCUCGCUGAGAGAUGAGUCCGCCCCCCAUUAGCUAGUUGGCGGGAUAAUAGCCCACCAAGGCAACGAUGGGUAGCCGAGCUGAGAGGUUGAUCGGCCACACUGGAACUGAGAUACGGUCCAGACACCUACGGGUGGCAGCAGUAGGGAAUAUUGGUCAAUGGGCGCAAGCCUGAACCAGCCAUGCCGCGUGAGUGAUGAAGGCCUUCGGGUCGUAAAACUCUUUUCUGAGGGAAGAACGGCGAGAGGAGGAAAUGCCUUUCGCGUGACGGUACCUCAGGAAUAAGCAACGGCUAGCUCCGUGCCAGCAGCCGCGGUAAUACGGAGGUUGCGAGCGUUGUUCGGAAUAACUGGGCGUAAAGGGAGCGCAGGCGGUCAAGUCAGUCUAAAGUGAAAUCCCGGGGCUUAACCUCGGAAGUGCUUUGGAUACUGCUUGGCUAGAGUUCGUGAGAGGAAAGCGGAAUUCCAGGUGUAGCGGUGAAAUGCGUAGAUAUCUGGAGGAACACCGGUGGCGAAAGCGGCUUUCUGGCGCGAUACUGACGCUGAGGCUCGAAAGCAUGGGAGCAAACAGGAUUAGAUACCCUGGUAGUCCAUGCCGUAAACGUUGUGUGCUAGGUGUAGGAGGUAUC